UUCAAAAGGUGAAGCCUAAAUCACCUGGUGCAGCAGCAGCAUCGAUUUCAUUCCUACACUGCCCCACAGCCAGAGACCACAAUUAACAGAGGUGAGGCCAUUGUUAGCAAUCGCACCUCUCUCCACUCCUCCUGCCUGAAGGCUGCCAGCUUUGCCCAUCCGGGACAGACAGCCCGACCUCACGCAGGAGCUUUGCCACAUCCAAGGGGAACCGGGAUUUGCUCCAAAUCGUGCCAAACACCAGUAGCCGCUCACACCACUGGCUGAAUCCUGUGCAGCAGCGGGACAUCCAUCACUGUCAGUGAGCGUAGCCGAGGAGGAGAGACAGAGAGGCGGUUACAAGCGGUACUCAUGGUGCUCGGAGAUUCUCACAGCUGUUCUGCUCUCAAUCUGUCAGAAGGUCAUCUGACAAGAGCAAACAACGCCAUGGAUGGAUCUUUGCCCAAGAAAGGAGCUGACCAGUAGUUUCCCUCUUUGUGACAAGACCCUCUAGGUGUUCUGCAUGAACCUGAAGGCACGAGUUAUAUUGCGAGCUCGGACAUCUGAGGACUGUAAUCUCUGGCUGUUCUCCAGCCUGUGCUCAGUCCAGAGGUGAGAUUACACUGCAAGCUUGGACAAAGGUUUGCAUUCCAGUUUCAGAGGAGGAAACCGGGCAACUUCAGCUCUAAAGCAAACUGAAAUGGAUUUUGCAUACAUCACUCUUACAGGUGUGCUGAAGACACAAUCCAUCAUUUGGUGAAUGGAGUUCACAC